UCAGAUGGCGCGGGGUGUCGUUAAACGGCUGAGAGUUACCCGUCGAACUUGAACUGGUUCAUACCAGCGUAAGGACGCCUUCAAAAAAUUUU
rnacentral:ncRNA from 1 species